rnacentral:lncRNA from 1 species
UCUCUGUCCUAUAUUUUCUCCCUUUUAUCUGUUAAUUUAUUGUAACCCUGUCGUGUAAUGUUGUCAUUUUAAUGUUAUAAUUAACACUGCCAUUAAAGCAGGAGGUUUGGCAUGCCACAAAACCAGGUUCAACCCACCAUUUUUUCAUAAAAUGCCCUGUACCAAGUCAGGAAAAUGGCCAUUGUUACAUUAUAGUUCGUUUCUGUGUGUGUUACAUUUCAGUGUUGUGUCUCUGUUGUGUCGUAGUUCUCUUAUAUGUGAUAGGUUUCACUCAGUUUUAGUUUGUAACCCGGAUUUGUUUUUUCUCUAUUGAUUUAUGAAUUUUGAACAGCAGUAUACUACUGUUGCCUUUAAUUAGCAUUUCCACGGAGAAUGUUUUGCCUUGAAGCUUCAGUCAUGGUUCAUUGACUUUGAAUAUAUUGCAUAUGUUACAUGUUAGAG